rnacentral:lncRNA from 1 species
UUUGUUUUAGUUUGAGUUUUCUUUGUAUUAUUUUGUUUUUGAAAAAUUUUGAUGUACUUUUGGGUGGCUCUAGUUCACAAAAAAAACUUUGGUUUGAUUAGUUGUUUUGAUUAUUGCAUGAAUACUUUUUGAGAUUUAAGUGUGUUACAAUCAAAUUGGUUUACCAACAUUUUUUUGUUUAAUUGUUCUUAAUCUUAAGUCAAGCUUAAAGCAACCAAGAAAUGUUCGCAAGGAAAGAAGCAUAGGGCACUUCGAGUGGUGAUG